rnacentral:rRNA from 1 species
GAUGAACGCUGGCGGCGUGCUUAACACAUGCAAGUCGAACGGUGAAGGCGGAGCUUGCUCUGCUGGAUCAGUGGCGAACGGGUGAGUAACACGUGAGCAAUCUGCCCCUGACUCUGGGAUAAGCGCUGGAAACGGCGUCUAAUACUGGAUACGAGCUGCGAAGGCAUCUUCAGCAGCUGGAAAGAAUUUCGGUCAGGGAUGAGCUCGCGGCCUAUCAGCUUGUUGGUGAGGUAAUGGCUCACCAAGGCGUCGACGGGUAGCCGGCCUGAGAGGGUGACCGGCCACACUGGGACUGAGACACGGCCCAGACUCCUACGGGAGGCAGCAGUGGGGAAUAUUGCACAAUGGGCGAAAGCCUGAUGCAGCAACGCCGCGUGAGGGACGACGGCCUUCGGGUUGUAAACCUCUUUUAGCAGGGAAGAAGCGAAAGUGACGGUACCUGCAGAAAAAGCGCGGGCUAACUACGUG